rnacentral:rRNA from 2 species
AUUAUUGAUCUUCAACGAGGAAUUCCUUGUAGGCGCAGGUCAUCAGCCUGCGCCGAAUACGUCCCUGCCCUUUGUACACACCGCCCGUCGCUCCUACCGAUUGAAUGGUCCGAUGAAAUGUCCGGAUCGCGGCUAGUGUGAUGGACUCGUCCAGAGCGGUAGCCGUGAGAAGCUCAUUAAAUCUUAUCAUUUAGAGGAAGGAGAAGUCGUAACAAGGUUUCCGUAGGUGAACCUGCGGAAGGAUCAUU